rnacentral:lncRNA from 1 species
UUGAAAACUUUGAGAAAAAGAUAAAGUGCCCAAAUCAAAGCAUGCAGAGCUAACAAAUGGUAGAGCCGGCAAUUGAACAUAGGUCUCUCCAUAGGCAAAGCCUAUGUAUGCCCUUUCCAGGGCACCAGGCUGCCUCCCUUAGCCUUGGCACUUGACUUUGAUACUGGAUACUCUUUUUAAAGACGAUGUUAUGGUCACUCUGGCAACUCUGUGGAGAAUAGACCUAGAGGGAGAUGGUGGAAACAUGAAGACCAGCAAGGAAAGAACUACAAUAAUUCAGGAAAGCACCAACCUCCAUGUACUUAUUCAAACCAGAAGCCAAGGAUAAUCCUUUAGCAGUGUUGAUCAUAAUCCUGAAAAUGGGGAGAAGUAAAAGACAUAGAGCUCAUUUGGGGAACAUUUCAAGUCAAGUGAGAGAGAAUUAUGACCAAGGGACAGUUGAAAUGAAGGUUGAGAAGAAAAACCUGGCCCUUGUUCUUAGCCACUUUAAUGAAGCAUCACUUGCCACAGAGAGGGGAAAAUAGCAAUUUGCAUUCUGAGAUAAUUUAAGACUAACCUUUAACUAUAUGUGCAUUAAUGUAUGGCUAAAAAUAUGUAUCAAGAUUUUAAAAUUAUUAAAGGAAGCUUACAGAUGAUAAAGAAGAUAAAUAUUUGAAAGAAAAAUUAAUCUUUGAAUAUAUAGUCUGCUCUUAACAAGAAGCACUAUGUGAU